rnacentral:lncRNA from 1 species
GGUGUGAGAAAGGCAAGCCUACAGGAUGAGCUCCACACCAUGUGAGCUGUGCUGAUGAAGAGCGGAGUAAUUCCAAAUCCUCAAGGACUCCUGGCUUGACUGUGGGGCCUCAGAAAGGCUGGAACUCGGCCCCCGGGCUUCUCCCUGACCCAGCACACGACACUGAACACGGGAGGACACCAAGGAGAUAGUCAGUUGUUGAUAAAGAGGUACUAGGAAGCUGAACUCGGCCCUGAGAGGUCGGGCAGGCGGUGACAGCUAUGGGGGCUGAGGGAGUGGAGUGUGUAGGGCCUGGAUUGUAUGCUUAUCCUGUUUUCCUCGGGAAAGGGGGAGAGCUCUGCCCAGAAUACUUUGCGGAGGGAAGACACAGAAGCUCCGGAAGGUGAAUAGAGAAAUUAGAGUUCUUUUGUUGGAGAAGCAAGCCUCACCUCACCUUUUGCUACAAUCUUGACAUUCAUGCAGUGUAGUCCAGGACUUCCCUUUCCUUGGGCAUCAGUGAAGAAGUUUCCAGGUUAAUGCAUGAGUUCCAAGAUUCACGUUCUCUUAGAAAAGCAAGCUCUGGUCUCCUUUCCUCCUCUUCUCUUCUCUUCUCUUCUCUUCUCUUCUCUUCUCUUUUCUUCUCUCUCUUCUCUUCUCUUCUCCUCCCCUCCUCCUCCUCUUCUUCCUCUCUCUCUCUCUCUCUCUCCCCCCCCUCUCUCUCUCUUUCCCUUUCAGAAUUCCUGGUGGGUUCCCUCUGUAGACUCAGCUAGGUGGAAGAUCCCCAGAAGUACUCCCCACACGGGACAUGGAGGACCCUUCUGAAUCUUUUUUGUGUUUCUCAUGCUGGAUUUGUUUCCUAUUACUCCAGGAAAAGAAUUUUCCAGCCCUCUAGGCUGCUGGCUGGAGGCAGCCACAAUUGCUAAUGUAACUUACAAAGCCAGAGGCUGUUUAUCGAGUGAAAGAUCUGCUUGUUUUUCUAAUUGUCCCUAAUUGUUCCUAUAAAACUGGUCCUAGUAAUGAGGAGGAAGCUGUGGUUGAGCUGUGACAUCCCAGGAGGAUGUGACCCUGUUUGCCAAAUAUCUGGAUCAAGCACCAGCCAUUAGGCGCAGUGUGGUGUAAUUACAUUUUGGAAGGGCUUCGGGCAGAUGGAUGAUAUGUUCCUGUUUAUAAUUGAAUUCUACUCCAUAAAAUGUGAAUUUAUUUGAUAUCGGCCUAAGCAUAUUGAGAUGAACUACCUCUUCAUUUUUUUUUCAAACUUUCUCUCUGGUCUUUUUUUUUUUUCCUCCACCCUGAUUUCUGUUACAAGAACAUUCUAAGAUGAAAGGCCAGAAAGUUAGCUUUUAAAUCUGGCUGUAAACCCAAUAAACCAACCAACAUCAAGAGCCAGGACACCAGAGUUUUGUCCAUGGUGACAAGAUAACCCCAGAAACAAAUCCUGCCCCAGCGCACGUUCAGUGCAGACAGAGUUUAUAAAUAGCAUGGGGUGGGGAGGAGCUUCUUUGACCUAACUCUAAAGCAAGAGGCAUGAUCUGGCCCAAAUUUUAAAAAUAGAGGACUGUCCAAGAAUAAUACUACCUCACCGGGAGAGACUUUUUAUCUUAGAAAGUCAUAAAAAAAAAGAAAAAGAAAGAAAGAAAAUAACAUUUCUGCCAAUCUCUCCUGUUGCAUGCUGGGAGUGGCAGGGUUUAUUGUCCAUCUGUAAACCAUGAGCAGAUAGGGGCAGCCACGGGUCAAGCAAGCUCAGGGGAAGCCGUGGGAAGGUGGAGACAUGGAAGCAGAGAGGGAGAUCAACACCGCAGACUCAAGGGUGCUUCAGGACCAUGUGUGAGGAAUCCUCUCAGAGCUUGUUUCUGGAACAGCUCGGGUGUGUCCCUACGAUGCCUUUCCAAGUGCAAUCCCUCAGACAGUGCACUCCCCAGCCAUGAUAAGAUGUCCCCCAAACCCAGCUCAAAAGGGGUCUUCUCCAGCACACCACUCUUUUUCCUGGUAGAGUCAAUGACUACCUUCUGUUUUGUGUGUAUAGCUCAUCUUCCAGAGCUAUAGCCCUUUUGUCUGUCUGUCUGUCUGUCUCACACACACACCUAUAACUCCUGAGGCAUGACUUGGCUGGCUAUGGCUGUGAGGGAUUCUGUUCAUUGGGUUAACCGAGGUAGGGCAGCCACACUGAAAGCAGGAGAUGUCCUCUUUCCUUGACCUUGGGUCCCGGCUGCAUAAAGAGGGGAAAGCCAGCUGAGCUCUGUCAUCUUUUCUCCCCAACUGUACAUGUGAUGUGACCAGCUGCUAAGAGCUCCUCCUGUCUUGACUUCCUUGACACAGUGGACGGAACCUCAAACUGUAGCUGAAGGAAACCUUUCCUUCUUUAAAUUGCCUUAUCAUAAUAUUUUACCACAGCAACAGAAAAGGCAAUGAAGACAGUGUCAAAUCCUUAAGUACUCAAUGGCGUGCCCCUGCCUCCCAACGCAUCCCCUCCUUCUCUUCCUCUUCCUCUUCCUCCUCCCCCUCCCACCUCCUGGUAUUUCCUACAGUCUUUCCACCUUAUUUAACACAGUAUCUCAGUGCACCUGGAGGGCUGGGCAGGAAGCUCCAGGCAUUUUCCUGUCUCUGCCUCCCAGUGCGGGCGGUACAUAUCCUCAGCUUUUCUCUGGGAGCUAGAGAUCAGAACUCAGCUCCUCCUGCCUGUGUAGUGUCUUAGGGUUUCUUUGCUGUGAAUGGCCAUGACUAUGACAACUCUUAUAAAGGACAACAUUUAAUUGGGGUUGGCUCAUGGGUUCAGAGGUUCAGUCCAUUAUCAUCAUGGUAGGAAGCAUGGCAAUGUGCAGGCAGAUAUGGUGCUGGAGGAGCUGAGAGUUCUACAUCUUGAUCUGAAAGCAGCAGGAGAUCGUAUGCAACACUGGGCCUAGCUUGAGCAUAUGUAACCUCAAAGCUCUGACUUUCCUGUGAUGUGCUUUCUCUAACAAGGCCACACCUCCUCCAAUAAGGCCACUCCUCCCCCAGUAAGGCCACACAUCUCCAAUAAGGCCACAUCUCCUCAUAGUGCCACUCCCUAUGGCCAAGCACUCAACACCUGAGUCUAUGGCACCAUUCCUAUUCAAGCCACUAUAUGCAACAAACAUUUUACCUGCUGUGCUACCUCUCUAGCCCCAUUACUCUGCUGCUUGAUAACCCGGUGACAGCAAGCCUUUCUCCAUAGAUAAUUAGCUUGUAGCAAGCACAUAUUUUCAUGCUAUGAAGUUGAGGGAGAACAAAGAGGAAUAUGAAAACACUAACAACUCCCAAGAGACACCAGAUAUGGCAGGACAUGGGGCAGAUGCAUUUCCCUGGAUUGGGUAGUUGUUUGAAAUUAUUUUUGUAUUUACGGGUUGCUCACUCAGACAUACAGAUUAUAGAACACAGAGAUUAUAUGCUGAGAUGUCUGCUGUCAGACUGAAUUACAGUGAGAGUUAUCACAAAAUCC